AUUGAACGCUGGCGGCGUGCUUAACACAUGCAAGUCGUGCGGUAACAGGCGUAGCAAUACGUGCUGACGAGCGGCGAACGGGUGCGUAAUACAUGGGAAUCUGCCUUUUAGUGGGGAAUAACCCGGCGAAAGCCGGGCUAAUGCCGCAUAAGAUCUUCGGAUGAAAGCGGGGGAUCGUAAGACCUCGCGCUGAUAGAUGAGCCCAUGCCGGAUUAGCUAGUGGUGAGGUAACGGCUCACCAAGGCGACGAUCCGUAGCUGGUCUGAGAGGACGGCCAGCCACACUGGGACUGAGACACGGCCCAGACUCCUACGGGAGGCAGCAGUGGGGAAUAUUGGACAAUGGGGGAAACCCUGAUCCAGCGACGCCGCGUGUGUGAAGAAGGCCUGCGGGUUGUAAAGCACUCUCGGUGGGAACGAAAUAUG
rnacentral:rRNA from 1 species